UCAGAUUUUCCUCUCAACGGUUUCUUGGUUGAAUCAGAUCUUCCUUUACCUUCCCCGUCAUCAGGGUCGUGCACUCGUGCAGUCUGUAAAUUUCUCAGGCACAAGCCAUAAAGUUGAGAGAGUGAAUGAGUGACUUCCCUACCUGUUUUCAAGAAAGAAAAGAGAGUGAACGAACACGUCACACUAUCAACAUUUACAUCCUCAGAAACCCAAGAGCGUUUGCUAAAAGAUGUGAUAAAAUAUCACUUUUUUACUCAAAUAAACAAACUAUCUUUAAUCUCACGAUAUAUAGCUAGUACAGUAGAACAAUUCUCUCUCAAACACUCUCUUAUACAAACGUGGAAUUUUCUUUUCUAACCUAUAGAUAAAAAAACACACACUAAUACACACUAUAUAAAAAAUAUUAAGAGGAAUUCAAGAUGAUCAAGUAACUUUUUUCAACCUAAAGAAGUAUUCAAAAUGAAUAACUAAUUUGCACCACCUUUAAUAAAAGAAGAGUUCAAAAUGAUUAAAUAACUUCCACCUCCUUUAAUAGAAGAAGAGUUCAAGAUGAUUAUGUAACUCUUUUAAUAGCUCUCAGCCAAUGACAAGCUUUUCCUUAACCAUGUAAAAUUCUUCUAUCCAAUUAAAAACUUUUGUUUAACCAAAUUGUAUUUUGACUAAAUCAUAUAUUAAUCAACCUCAUACUUCUAAAGUUUCUUGAUGAUUUUGGAAUUUCUUCUAAUUUCUAAAAUUUCCACUUUCAACAGAGAGCACUUCAACGAAGAAGUGCUAGUUUGAAACUAGUCUUCUUUAUCAGAAUCCUUAAAAUUUUUACUACUUUGAUCACUAUUGUCGAAGCUAGAUUUAGAAUUCCAAGGACUUGCCUGAAAUGCACUAGGUUUUUCGAAAGAUUGAUGUUGAGAUUUUAUUGCAUCACCCAACAUGUGAAUAGAAGGUUUUAAAUUUCUUGAUCUUGCCUGUCUACGGAAAAACCUUGGGUUCACGAAUUUUUCCGUGUCGUUUUAUAGCUAAUUUUGUUUUUGAUUCUACUUCGAUUCACAAGUAGAUGGACAAACUAAAAUGAUAUCAUCACAUUCACUUCCUCCCUAAUGUUCAAGAAUACAAGAAAUGUGCGCCCCCCCGGGGCACAUCCCAACUGACAAAGAUGAGGGCGCUUGAAGGUUGGUAGAUCAGAAGUCGUGAGUUCCAUUCUUGAAAAGUUCUUGGAAGGCAGGAUUUAUCCUAGAAGGCAAGAGCUCUACUGGAAGGUAAGGUGCAAAGAUGGGAAACGACUUGCUUGGUACUUUGGCAUAUCAGUUGGGGGCUCUAGAACACUGGUCAGUUUGGGGCACAACCUGCGGUUUAACCUGUCUGCAGCUUGAAGGGCCAAGGUGUAAACUCCAGGAUUUAGUCACCGUAAGAUGGAUAACUUGAUAUAAAAAGAAUACAAGAAAUGUGUCGAUGUCAACUGUUGCAUCUUGAUUAAAAUAUUAUAACUAUUGCAACAAGGGGUGGGGCGGAAUAUACUAGGACGAUAUGUCGUUCUUAAAAAAGCAUAAUUGACAAAGUUGGAGGAUCCACAAAUUGUAUGAUCAAAAUUCACAUAACAGUGGGUCCCGUAACUUAUAGACUAGAUGAGUUGGAAAAUUAUAUGAAUCAACGGAUUUGUUGAUCUCUACAGUCUGAAGUCAACUAGAUUUCAAGAAACCUACUGACAUGCACACAAGAAGAAGGUCAAGUGGGUAACGGUGGGACAAUUUCAUAUUCGUUUGCCAGAAAAAGAGAGAGAGAGGACUCUCCACUAAGAAUUAAAAGCCACAUUUGACUGGAAGGGGAAAGAAAGUUAAAUAAAUAAAUAAAUAAAUAAAUGAUCACUUUAAAUUAAAAGGAAUGGAUAUGAAUUAGUCAAAAAUCAAAAUGUGCAUUUCAUAAUAUUGUAUAAUUCUACCAUGCAAUGAUGUCUUAGUUAGUGGUCAAAUGCACAAUUGCAUAUUGAUUGUUCCCUUUAUUCUUCUUUUAUGGGUUCUGUUAGUGAGAAUUUCUAGAUAUUUAAGAUGUAUAUACUGCAUGGGUAAUGGGUUGUUCAGUCAAUUCUUCAUGGCGGUCCAUCUACUAAUAGAAGAUUCAACGGUUGUAACAAUUCAUGCUACUCUAGACGAAACUUCAAGGUAUUAUCUAAAAAUGAUAAAAGAUCCAACUAAUAUAUCUUCAAGUGGAAGGAAUACAAAUACACACUUAAGUGCAUAUGCAAGGGAUUCUCUCUCUUUCUUGCCAUGUUUCCACUAUUGUUUCUGCGACCCAUUUAUUAGGGUGGAUGUUUGGGUAAAAAUAUAAGAAAUCAAAAUAAGAUAGCAAGUCAUUGUUAAGAAUGUGUGAGAUUUAGAGCUCUACUUGAAAAAGAUAAUUGAUUAUUGUCUCCAUUUCAAGUAAUAAUCUAUCCAUUCUUCUUCUAAUUAGCUAAAAGGAUCGCACUAUCCAUCAAUGUCCAACUCAUUCGACGCUUCAAGACUAUUAUCCACGUGGCAUGAUUAUAUUGAGAGUCAACUACCAUUUUUAUUUUUAUUUUGACUCAUCGCGAUCCAAAUUGGAAACCCCCACCUUCAUCCUGAUCUUCUAUAUACAUCUAAUUUAUCCCGUUAUAAUUUGCAUAACUAGGUUUGGGCACAAGUCCAACUCUAAUAUCAGUUACUCCAAUUUUGAAUUUCAUCCAAAAAUAUUACUCCAUUCGUCUCAAUUAUAUAGGUUGAGCUUCCUUUUUCUCGUCUCAAAUAUAUAGGUCUAUUUCCUAGAAUAUUUUAUUUUGUUCAUUUACUAAUAUACCCUUAUUCAAUUUUUUCCAUGCCAACUUCUUGAAAUAAUCAAAAUACGCACAUUUCCCAUUUCUUGAAAAUAUGAAACAACUCUCAUUUCUUCUUCUUGAAAUUAAAUCAUUCAGAUUUUUUAUUAAUUCCAACAAUAAUUAAUUUUCCAAUGACAUUAAAGAAGAUUUCUUAAUAUGUGUAAAAAACGAAACAAACCUAUACAAUUGAGAUGAAAGGAAUAAUUUGGAUUUAGAUGGACCGGUCCAAUAAUCUUAUAAACCUAAAAUGUUAAAGAGACUAUCUUACUAGCUCUUAUGUCUAGUCAAUAUAUUUCUUCCAAUCAUGUUAUACAAACAAAAUGAUUGACAUAAUCUUUAAUAUAUCGACAUAUGAUAACUUAUCAUAUAACACUGUUACGGUAAGUUCAAAUUAUUAGCCCACUUCAAUCAACAAAAAUAAUAAACUACAGUAAAGGGAAUGAAAGAAAAAACGUAGAAAACACAAGAAAGAACACAGUAUUUUCGCUCUAAGGUAAGACAUUCGGAACCGGAGUCCCUAAUCCCCUUUUGAGCUUCCACCACCGGAAGAAACCACUAUAUUAGCCGGAAUCAAUAAAGGUACAGUUCACAGUUCAUGGCACUCAGACGAAAUCACACCAAGAUUUCGUAUACAACAAACCCACAGAAUAUACAUCGAACGUCCACUCAAGGAUUGAACCAUAUAAACCACUCAAGAUCUACAAUAGGCUGUAACAAAAUCGAUCUACAAAGGGCUUUUGAUUAAGUGCUUAAAAUGAAACGAAGAAGCAGUGAACUCGAGAGAACAGAGGGCUGCAGAGAGAGAAGAGAGAGGCUGAGUAAAAAUGAAAUCAAUCAGCCGUCCAAACCCUGGAAGCCAGUACAAAUAGAAGCAGCUGGAAGGUCGGUCAUCUACGGUGAGGAGAGUGACACUUGGCAAGAUCAGGAGCGUCUGUUCUUAUUAAUAAAAACGGGUUUUAAACAAAACACGUUUUUAUCACAAUCCGGUCAGCCCAUUUAGCCAAGUUCAAGUGACAAGUGAUCCAGCCCACAAGCCCAUCAGUAUUAAUCUAGCCCAAUCAUCAUUGUGCCACUAUAUAAUUUUUCUCUACAUUCUCCACCUUGGUACAAUGAUACCAGCAUCAUUUAUAGUGAUUCCUACAGUCAUGGCAUCAUUUGCUCGAGUACCCGAUGCACAAAUCAAUAGCAAUUUAUAUUAAUUUGCUUUAAACAGUCCAAAAACUUGUUUAAAGGCAGUAUUUUGGUUCCAACAUCAGCAGGGUUAAAAUGAGUAGAAAUCUUUUCAAGUUUAACAACACCUUGAGAUAUCAGAUCUCUAAUAAAAUGAAACUUUACAUCAACAUGUUUAGAUCUAUUAUGCAGCACAGGAUUUCUACUCAAAUAUAUAGCAGAUUGGCUAUCAGAAUGUAAGACAACAUCAUUUAUGAAGCCAAAUUCAUCUAAAAGUCCUUUUAGCCAAAUUCCUUCUUUAAUUGCAUCUGUAGCAGCUAUAUAUUCUGUUUCAGUUGAAGACAAGGCAACAAUCUUUUGUAAUUGUGAUUUCCAUCUUAUACAGGAAUUACAUAGAGUGUAAACAUAAGCAGAAGUUGAUUUUCUAUUAUCCCUAUCACCUGCAUAAUCUGAAUCUGUGAAACCCCUCAAGAUAACACCCUCAGAUUGUUUUCUAUACUCAAUUCCUAGGUCACAAGUCCCUUUUAUAUAUCUUAGAAGCCACUUCAUAGCUUCCCAAUGAACCUCACCAGGAUUUGACAUGUAUCUACUUAAUACACUUAUUGAAAAUGCCAAAUCAGGCAUAGAACAAAUCAUUAGAUACAUAACUGACCCCACAACAUUAGAAUAUGGCACUCUAGCCAUUCUUUUUAACUCAUCUUCUGUUUUGGGACAUUGAUCAUUAGAUAAUUUGAAGUGAUUUGUUAAAGGCAAGCUCACACUUUUAGCAUUAGACAUUGCAAAUCUUUCAAGUAUUUUUAAAACAUAAGAUUUUUUAUUUAGGCUUAGUGUGCCCUCUCUUCUAUUUCUUUUAAUUUUGAUACCCAAGAUUUUUCUAACAAGACCUAAAUCUUUCAUUUCAAAUUCAGAUUUUAAUUUGUCUUUAACUGACUCUAUUUCCUUUAUGUCAUGACUUGCUAAAAGCAUGUCAUCCACAUAAAGUAGAAGAUAGAGUGAAUUCUCACCUCUAUUUCCUUUACAAUAAAGACAAGUAUCGAAAUUACUUCUUUUAAAACCAAGUCCAAGCACAAAAGUAUCAAAUCUCUUGUACCAUUGUCUUGGAGCUUGUUUUAAACCAUAAAGUAACUUUUUAAGAAGACAUACUAAGUCUGAAUUUUUAUUCACUUCAAAGCCUUUAGGUUGUUCCAUAAAAAUGAUUUUUUCAAGAUCUCCAUUUAAAAAUACAGUUUUUACAUCUAAUUGAUCCAAUUCCCAAUUGAAUUGAGCUGCUAGAGCUAGUAUUACUCUAACAGUUGUAAAUUUCACAACUGGAGAAAAGAUUUCAUUGAAAUCUAUUCCCUCUUUUUGGGCAAAACCCUUUGCUACAAGUCGUGCUUUGUAUCUAAUGUCAUUGUCAUCUUUUUCACCUCUUUUGAUUUUGAAAAUCCACUUACAACCUAUAACUCUCUUUCCCUUAAGUCUUUUAACUAGAGUCCAUGUUUUAUUCUUCCUCAAUGAUUCCAUUUCAUCAUGCAUUGCUGUUAGCCAAUGCUUAGAGUCCUUACUACUCAUAGCAUCCUUAUAGGACUCGGGUUCAUUUUCAAUGAACCCUUGAACAGUGAGAAGGGAUAUUUCAUCAUCAAAUCUCACAGGUGGUCUUAUUUCUCUCCUUUCUCUAUCUCUAGCAAGUUGAUAAUCAUUUAAGGGUUGAUUAACCUCAAAAUCAGAUUCAUUUUGAUCAGUUUCUUCAUCAUUUUGAGCCUCAAUUUCAUUAUUUUCAAUCUGAUCAUGUUGUGGAUUAUCAUUAUUAACUUGCUCCACCUCAAUUUCAGUUUCCCUUCCUUCAUUUUCAGUCUGACUAGAUUUAGUAGUGUUACUUUCAAAUUUUAAACAAGGCAGAUCAGAUUCAUUAAACACCACAUUUCUACUUAUAAUGAUCUUGUAGCCCUUGGUCUCUCUUACCCAAAGUCUAUACCCCUUCACCAUAUCCCAAAAAAACACACUUAAGGGCCCUAGGUUCAAGUUUCCCUUCAGAUUGAAGUGCAAAGGCUGCACACCCAAAUAUUUUUAGAUUACUUAAAUCUACAGGUUUUCCUGUCCAAACUUUUUCAGGGGAUUUUAAUUGUAUAGCACUAGCGGGGCUUCUAUUUAUGAGAUAACUAGCAGUUUUUGUAGCUUCUCCCCAAAAUAACUUGGGAAGACCAGAACCUAAUAACAUGCAUCUAACUCUCUCAAGAAUAGUUCGGUUCAUUCUUUCAGCCAAGCCAUUUUGUUGUGGGGUAUGUGUCACUGUUCUGUGUCUUAAAAUGCCAUGCACUUUGCACAAUUCAUCAAAUUCAUAAUUGCAAAACUCAAGCCCAUUAUCAGUCCUCAACACUUUAAUCUUUUUAUUUGUUUGAUUUUCAAUCAAGAUUUUCCAUUCUUUAAAAGCAUUAAAAGUGUCAGACUUAUGUUUAAGUAGAAAGAGCCAGUUUUUCCUAGAAAAGUCAUCUAUGAUUAAAAGGAAAAAUCUGAAACCAGUAUGUGUGGGCACAGAAGCUGGUCCCCAAAGACCAGCAUGCAAAUAUUCAAGAAUAGACACAGAUUUAUGCAUCCCAGGCAGAAAUGGUAAUUUAUUUUGCUUCCCUAGUAUGCAAUGAUCACAAAAACUGAGUUUCUCAAUUAUAUCUUUACCAAAAGCACCUUGUUUUUUCAAAAUCUGAAGUCCUUUAUCACUUAUAUGACACAACCUUUUGUGCCAUAAUUGUGACAUAUCAUUGGGAGCAGAAAUUGCUGCUGAUGUAGAGUCAAAAAAGUUUUGAGUGUGUAAAAUGUAAAGUCCAUGUCUCUUGGGGGCUUCUGCAAUUAAUUGAGAGCCCCUCAAGAUCUUAAUGUAUCCCUUGUUAAUCACAAUAUUGUAGUUCAGGUCAUCUAGGACACCUAAAGAUAUCAAAUUUCUUUGUAGGUCAGGAACAUACCUGGUCUUUUCUAAGAUCAACUCAUUAUUACCUUCUAACUUUAGGGUAAUAGAUCCUAUUCCUUUUACCUGACAAGUCAUGUGAUUACCCAUUAACACUUGACCUCCAUUUACAUUUUCAAACUCACUAAACCACUCUCUUUCAGGACACAUAUGAAAAGUGCAACCUGAGUCAAGGAUCCACUCCUGACUGGGUGAACUAUGUGUCGCAACAUAGACUUCAUCUAUAUUGUACUCAUUUUUAUAAGCCAAGGCAGCACCUCCAUCAUUAUUGGACUUAUUUUUCAAAUCAUUAAGUCUCUUAUAACAAUCUUUGAUAAAAUGACCUUCACCUAGGCAAUAAAAACAUUUUUUUACCCUUGGUCUUAUUUUUCAUUUUAUCUUUAAAGUUUAUUUUCUUCUUGUGUCCUGAUUUUUUAUUAAAGUUGGUCAUCUUUGUAUUUGAGUUAGGUUUGGAUUUAACCAUCAAAUUUUCACCCCUAAUGAAUUCUCUUUUUUCAGAUUUUAACUCUAAAUCUUUAUUUCUUAAUGCAUUUAUUAUCACAUCAGUAGUUAGAGUCUCCCUCCCAUAUUCAAUAGCAUUUUUAACAUCCUUGUACUUAUCAAUUAUUGAAUUUAACAAAACCACAGCCAACUGAUCUUUUGAGAGUUUCUCAUCACAGUCGGCUAGGUCACGGGAUAAUCUGUUAAACCUAUCAAUGUUUGCAUCAAGAUCAAGAGAUGGAUCCAAUUUGAAACCAAAAAAUUGUUUUAGAAGAUACACUUUAUUAGGCAUGGUUUUAUUCAAAUAGGUAUCUUCCAAUUUUUUCCACAACUUAACAGCAGUUUUUGUCUCACCAAUUUCUCUCAAAACAUUGUCAGACAAAUGCAAGAAUAUAGAACUCCAUGCAGUUUCGUCAAGUUCUGUUUUCUUAAUUUCUUCCAUAUCAUUAGGCCAUGACUCAUCAAUAGCUUUAGCACAUUUUUGUUGAAAUAAAAGGGCUCUCAUUUUCUGGCGCCAGAGACUAAAGUCUCCUUUACCAUUAAAAAUUUCCAAUUCAACUUUAGUUGACAUUAUCAAAACUCAAUUUGAAAAAAAAAAUUAAAUUCAGGCAGAUUACUUGCAACUUAGCUAAUAUAUAUGUAUAACUUGCAAGAAGUCAAAUAUCAUACGCAGUAGAUAAAAUUGGAAUGUGCAGUAUUCAAGUUAUAUAUAUUUCUAAUCAUUCAGUAAGUAAACUCAACAUAUUAAUUCACUUCAGAAUAAGCAGCUUACUUAAAGAUAGCACAUAUAAGAUCACAUAUACCUAAAUUACAGUGUGCUAUGUACAGUGUAAGAGAUAUAUGUAAGAGUUACAUGGGAAAUCUAGAUCAAUGACUGAAGUCAAGGCAACCCUAAGAUUCCAGACAACUCUAGGGGUUUCUGGACAUAGGUAUUGCCGAGAGAAGUCACAAAUCUAGAGUUUAAGGCUUGGUUACAAAAAAUCUCACAGUACAGGCUGAUGAAUAUAUGUAACUCGAAUGAUAUGGAACGAACUCACCAAAGAAACCUUGUUAGGGUUUCACGAAAAUAACAAAUUCAUUAGAACCAGUGCAAGAAUCCUUGAAUCUACCAACAUCGACGCCAAGAACUACCGUCAACUUGCUCUGAUACCACUGUUACGGCAAGUUCAAAUUAUUAGCCCACUUCAAUCAACAAAAAUAAUAAACUACAGUAAAGGGAAUGAAAGAAAAAACGCAGAAAACACAAGAAAGAACACAGUAUUUUCGCCCUAAGGCAAGAGGUUCGGAAUCGGAGUCCCUAAUCCCCUUUUGAGCUUCCACCACCGGAAGAAACCACUAUAAUAAUCGGAAUCAAUAAAGGUACAGUUCACAGUUCAUGGCACUUAGACGAAAUCACACCAAGAUUUCGUAUACAACAAACCCACAGAAUGUACAUCGAACAUCCACUCAAGGAUUGAACCAUAUAAACCACUCAAGAUCUACAAUAGGCUGUAACAAAAUCGAUCUACAAAGGGCUUUUGAUUAAGUGCUUAAAAUGAAACGAAGAAGCAGUGAACUCGAGAGAACAGAGGGCUGCAGAGAGAGAAGAGAGAGGCUGAGUAAAAAUGAAAUCCAUCAGCCGUCCAAACCCUAGAAGCCAGUACAAAUAGAAGCAACUAGAAGGUCGGUCAUCCACGGUGAGGAGAGUGACACUUGGCAAGAUCAGGAGCGUCUGUUCUUAUUAAUAAAAACGGGUUUUAAACAAAACACGUUUUUAUCACAAUCCGAUCAGCCCAUUUAGCCAAGUUCAAGUGACAAGUGAUCCAAUCCACAAGCCCAUAAGUAUUAAUCCAGCCCAAUCAUCAUUGUGCCACUAUAUAAUUUUUCUCUACAAACACAAUCAAUUUUUUCAUUAAAUCACGUACCAAUGCAUAUUGUGUCAUUUUCUGGCACACAAAUAUUAUUCAAUUCGUCACGCGUGGCUGUCAAAUUUCGCUUGGAGAGUUGGAUAUUCACAUACCUGACAAAUCAAACCAAUAUAAACCUGCCUCUAAAUUUUCUGAGGAAACUUCGUGGAAGCUCACUCAUGGCUUCUGCACUCUCCACCCAUAUAUAUCUCUCAUUUCUUCUUCUUCAUUUCACCCUCAAACGCUUAUCUCAUUUUCACCAUGAAACUCAUCAAAAAUCUUCCCAAAAAGCUCUUGAUGAGAAAGAAAUCUCGCUCCAUUCCUGGAUUCGAAUCUGACCCUGCUUCCUUCAGUUCCU
rnacentral:lncRNA from 1 species